rnacentral:rRNA from 1 species
UACGUAGGGGGCAAGCGUUGUCCGGAUUUAUUGGGCGUAAAGAGCGUGUAGGCGGCCAUGCAGGUCAGCUGUGAAAACUCGAGGCUCAACCUCGAGACGUCGGUUGAAACCGUAUGGCUAGAGUCCGGAAGAGGAGAGUGGAAUUCCCGGUGUAGCGGUGAAAUGCGCAGAUAUCAGGAGGAACACCGGUGGCGAAGGCGGGUCUCUGGGCCGAUACUGACGCUGAGGAGCGAAAGCAUGGGGAGCGAACAGG